UACGAGGGGGGCGAGCGUUGUUCGGAAUUAUUGGGCGUAAAGGGUGCGUAGGCGGUUUGAUAAGUCUUAUGUGAAAUCUACAGGCUCAACUUGUAGUCUGCAUGAGAAACUGCCGGGCUUGAGUAUGGGAGAGGUGAGUGGAAUUCCUGGUGUAGCGGUGAAAUGCGUAGAUAUCAGGAGGAACACCUGUGGCGAAAGCGGCUCACUGGACCAUAACUGACGCUGAUGCACGAAAGCUAGGGGAGCAAACAGG
rnacentral:rRNA from 1 species